rnacentral:misc_RNA from 1 species
UUAGGCAUUUAAAUUUUCGCUCAGACAACAAAUAUAUUGAUGGUAAAAACCUUUGGCGGGCGCUCACUAGCAUUGCCAGCGGCAUUAAGACGGCCCGCCAAAGCAACAGAUAUCAAUUAUCACAGGGUGGAGGAGUCUCCGUGAGGAGCGCAACUCGGUAAUGAUCCUCUCGCAGGUUCACCUACGAGAA